rnacentral:pre_miRNA from 1 species
GUAGUACUCCCUCCGUCUGGAAUUACUUGUCCCGUACUUGUCAUAGGAAUGGAUAUAUCUAGAUAUAUUUUAAUUAUCCAUUUUUAUCAAUUUAUGGGACAAGUAAUUCCAGACGGAGGGAGUAUAUA